rnacentral:rRNA from 1 species
CCUACGGGAGGCAGCAGUGGGGAAUAUUGCACAAUGGGGGCAACCCUGAUGCAGCGACGCCGCGUGAGUGAAGAAGUAAUUCGUUAUGUAAAGCUCUAUCAGCAGGGAAGAAAAUGACGGUAUCUGUGUUAGAUGCCCCGGCUAACGACGUGCCACCAGCGGCGGUAAUAUGCAGGGGGCAAGCGUUAUCCGGAUUUACGGGGUGUAAAGGGAGCGUAGCCGGCAGUGCAAGUCUGGAGUGAAAGGCGGGGGGUCAACCCCGGAACUGCACUGGAAACUGUCAGGCUGGAGUGCCGGAGAGGUAAGCGGAAUGCCUAGGGUAGCGGUGAAAUGCGUAGAUAUAAGGAGGAACACCAGUGGCGAAGGCGGCUUACUGGACUGCAACUGACGUUGAGGCUCGAAAGCGUGGGGAGCAAACAGGAUUAGAUACCCUAGUAGUC